rnacentral:lncRNA from 10 species
CAGUACUGUGCUUUUGGAGGAUUCAGAAGAAGUUAUAUCUGAUUGGGAGAUUGAAAAGGAUUGGCCUGAAGGAGAGGUGGUUUUUGAACUGCAUCUUAAAGGAUGAGGAAACUGAGGCUGAGAGGGUAGAGAACUUUGCCUGAGGUCACUCAGCAGGGACCCACCCAUCACAGUAAAUGCCAGCACUGCUGAUGCCAAAACAAUGUUAUUUGUAGGCCCUCGGAAUUUGUGACCUGAAGGAAGAAGAGCAGGGCCGUGGGAAGUAUGUAACCAGUGUCAUGCCCCUGGUCCCAAGGAAGCAGUGGCUUGGUAAAGAGGGGACCCCCGUCAAUAACUCCCUGUAAUUACUGGGCACCCACUCUGAGCUCCUCAGUGGAAUCCUAAGGUUAAUAAGACUGUCUCUAGCCACUGGGGCUCCCAGCCUGGAGUGAGGUAAGAGGAGUGGAGCCGGCUGGGGAGGGAGACGAACACAUACACAGAAGAUUCAGACACACUUGCAAUGUAUUGCUGGGGAUUCUCCAGCAUUGGCAUGAUGGAGAGGGUGGAGAAUCAUUUGACCGCCUCCGCCUAGGAUUGCAGAGUUCAGCUGGCCAUCAUCCACCAGCCGGGGGACUGUGCACAUCAGUUAACCUCUCCUCUCAGGCCUUGAAAAGCACCAGGCUUAGUACACGUUUGUUAAAUGAAUGCACUGCAGUUUUUUUGCUUGUUAAAGGCAGGUAAUAAUAAUGAUAUUGCUGACUAAGGGCUCCCAUCCACUCCCAGUGAGCCCGGUGCCCCCCCGGGCCUCCUCAGUGAGCUGAGGAGGCUCAGCAGUGCCUGCACGUCCCCUCGCCACAAUGUCAUGUGCCACCUCUUCAAAGGAGGGAUGUACCAGCUAGUGGACGUGACCUUGACUGCAAAGGGCGGCACGCAGCUGAUGUAAUGGUCGCUUAAGUGUUCACAAAUGCCUGAACACCCUGUCCUACCUGGUCCUACCUGGAUGCUGGCCUCAGUAAGCUCCUGGGCUCAUUGAAGAUGAACCUAGCAGUAGUAUUUACACCACUUGUUGUGUGCCCACUGUGGGCCCGGCGCCAUGCCGAGUGCUCUAUGGAUGUGAGAUGAGAACACUGAAGCAGUUUUUUCUAAAGAUAGCUGCCUGGCACAGUGGCUCACAUCUGUAGUCCCAGCAUUUGGGGAGGCCAAGGCAGGUGGAUCACUUGAGGCCAGGAAUUCAAG